GACAAGGGAAGCGUCUCUGAGAUGGUGUCUUGUCCGCCCCCUGGUGGCAGCCUAUUGAAGAGAGGGACUCCGCUUACACAGCACCUUUACCCAGUACUUCUACUCCUUUUUUAUAUUUAACACAUGACUUAUUUAAAAGACUAAAAUUCCAUGAAAAGAAGAACGAAAUAACCCGUCAGGAAGAUAAUAUAGCUACAUAGUAACUACAACAAUACACUGCCUACCCUCAAUUAUCUUACAUACUGUGUGUCUGUUGCCUGAAGAUCAAAGCCCUACAAAGAUUGAGGAAACUUAUUCCCAGACUGACAGUAAGCCACAGAAGUUCUCAAAGACAUUCUAUCAUGUCAUAGAGAGACUGAUAUGCAUCAGAAGACAGCAUGUCCACAAUGGUGAGAUAAUGGAUCCUUGCAUGCAAAGGUCAUGGCCACCUGCAUUGGAUGAGGACAUUAAUGAUGGCAGCUGGAGUAAGCCUGGGAGAAGCUGUUAGGCAGGGCACGCCCCAGGACACGAGGGAACAAAGGAAGGCUGGUGAUGGCGAGAGUCUGAGGGAGUUACUGGUUCUCUUGGCCAAGAAUGGUAAGUCUUCCUCUGCUCGAGGUGGGUCACUCCUCUGAACCCUGCUCGACUCUUAAUGUCCUUGCUUGAUGGGGGAGGAAUGGAAGUCUCAAGAGCUUAACUGCCUGAGACUAAGAUUGGAAAAAUAUCAGGAUGAGAUAAGCACAUGGUCAGUCAGAGCAUGAUUCUCAAACUAGCUCUGUGGGGGAGUGCCAUUUCCCUCCCCCACCUGGGCCUGCUAGUACAAUGCUGUGCCGUGGCCUCUUCUCCCCGACCUGGAUCUCUGGAGGUUAAGAAACACCUGAGGAGCGGUCUGAGGGGGAGGGGAAGAAAAAAGAAAAUUUGACCUAGCAAAACCCUCACUAGGGGCGAUUGAGAACUUGAGAAAUCUCAGUCUAAAACAGACAGUUGGUAGAGCAUAGUGAAUUUCGAGAGGAGCAACUGGGAAAAGAAAAAGCAGGAGUUAAGAUUUCAUCAGGGAAGUGCAAAGUCAAAUUUACCGGCUCCUUAAGACAAAAGCUCAGAGAGCCAGGCUGCUGUUCAUAUGGAAAAACAGGCAGUUUAGCAAAAGCUGGAAAGGCUAGCGAAGAAACAAGGUAGAAACUGCUGCAGAAUGCUAAGGAGUCCUUUCUUAAACACUUCUUAUUUCAAAAGUUCUGCAGGGAGCAAGCUAAUCUUCACAAGAAAAUCCCUGUGCCUUUUCAGGAGAGGUCUGAAAGUAGUUGCUUUGACUCAAAGCAGGGCAUUUAAAGGAUCAGAAUCACUUGGCAAAAGGGAUAAAAAACAAAAAACUUUUUCUAAUAAAACCACAGGUCUCAGCAAAAUUAAUGAAUCAAGGUAAUAAUCCUGGUUAUUAGGUUAAAUUCAGAACAGCCUAGGCUGUAAAAAGAUAUUGCCAUUCUGUAACCAAAGGCAGAAGAUUUUUUUUAAAAAAAAGCAAGCCUCUACACUCAUUUAGCAUUUGAAAAAGGUCCUAGGAACUCUUUUGUUUGAGGUCUGGCCAGGUAAAGGCAGGCUUUACCUGGGUGAUUGCAAAUGAUAAGAAGCACAGUGAGAUGAGAUCUGGAAAUUUGAAUCAUUUUAAUUUAGGUUGGAUACAGGCAAAAUUAUAAAGGAAUGUCUGCUUAUACUUUUUGAUAAAGGAAGUUAAAAAAGAGAAUUAAAAAUCUUUCUCUGACUUUUGUUAUAUGCCACAGAAUAACAGGACUAGAAACGUUUUAUCUGUAGAGAAAUUUUGGUAUAAAGCAUGAGGUAAAGUGCAAACAGAAAAUUUUUAAGGUUUGGGCUUAAAUCUGAAGCAGCUUGAAUUUUUUUCUCUACUGGCCACGUGGCUUGAGCCACGUGGAAGAUAGCAUCAGAGUAACUGAGGUUCCAAGUUUUUAUCACUAAUGCUGUAAUUGGCUAGAAGGAAAAUUUAAUACUAAGGUAUAAUAAGCAUGAAUUGGAAUGAUUUAAAGGAAUUUAUAAGGCUUUCUAAUUUUAACUAUGGAGGAAUUAUUAACAAUUUUCUAAGCAGGACAUAAAGCAACAAGAUGAAUAGUGAGCAGAGCUUAUUCAAACAGCCUGUAUGCAGUUCAGAAACUUUUUAGUGGGCAUAUUAAUGUACCUGUAUCCAGAAAGCAUAUGAUUUAUAACUAGAAUAGCUUUUACUAUGGAAAAAUAAGACACAUGCUCAGCAGAGUAAAAGCAUGGUUAGAAGGAUUCAAUCUGUUUACCAGUAGUUAAUUAUUAAAGUUAUCAAGGAAUCUGUUAUUCAGUACAGUGAUUUAUAAAGGAUUUGAAAGAGGCAAUACUAUCAUUUAUUCAAAUUAGAGAUAUUGAAGCUGAUCAUGAUAUUGAAAAGAGACCUAUGAUAAUAAGGCAAAUUCAAAGGUUACUGGCACGAUUUGAUUUAUUUCUGCAGUGAAGAUUUGCAGACUUAGCAGAUGAAAGUAAUGAUUCUAGUCACAGUAUCAAGAUCUUUUAAUUGCAGUAAUUCAGAAACAACAACUCCUUUGCAAAUGUUUGAUAAUUCUGUGCAUAUUUUUACAACAUAAGACAAUGCUAUAAUUUUAAUAACUGCACAAGGUGAAUUUUUUCAAAAAGCAAAAAUUGUGUGCAGGCAGACAAAGGCUUAAGAUCCCAGCACACAUGGGUCAAAUCAUAAGUGAUUUAUGGAAUGAUAUUUUCUGUUGUGGAUUAAUUUCACCUCUGAUAGAUAUCCACUGUAUAUUUUGGAGCAAAGGAUGCAUUUCAACAUGCUCCUGGCACAAAGGUUGAACUGUGAAAAGUGAUGGGAGAUACUUACUCUCCUGGUUUAUGGGUUCAAGCUCAAAUGAAGAAGUGAGCAAAGUGAUUACAGAUUUUAUAAAUAUCUGUGCACUACUGUCUAUUCCAAACAGCUUGGAAUAGCAGGGAUUUUAACAGCAAUGCAAGGGCUAAAUUGCAUAGCUCAUAGCUUACAUGCAAGCUAUGGUAAGUGGAGCUCAAAGGAAUUCAUGAGCCCCAAGGUUCAAAAACUGAAGGUAUAUAUGUUCUGUCACUUUCUAACUUUCUAAGACCCAAUGAGGCUUUCAUUUGGGGUCGAGGUUUUCUGUUUACUUUCUCAGAUACAUGAAGUCCAUGGAAGAUGAUCAAGAGCAUCUGAUGGCAAGACAAUCUGCCCAAAACAAGGACAGACUGCAGAGGUGUCUGGCACAGGACACCGGGAAAAACAGCAAAUGAGCUGGAAAAAUCGGAAAAACAGCAAAUGAGCUGGAAAGAUCAUCACUGCCCUAUAGGCAGGUUUAACACACUAUCCACACACACAUGUAAUUGUAUGAAAAACAAUGUACAUGCGGAAGAAUAUCAUUAAGUCACUAACAUGUUCUGUUCUAGGAAUAUAUGGGUAUUUGGUAAAAGAUCUAACUUUAUUACAUGCCUGAAAAUUUUGAAUGGUACUGGUACAGUGUGUAACUUGAAAUCAUUUUAUUGGAAUUGUUCCAUGUUAGCCAAAUGUGAUCAAAUAUCAAAAGGGUACAAUUGGGAAUGUUAUGACAGUAUAAGGGAUGCUGUCCACUUGCAGCACAAAAGGGUAUUACUAUCCAAAAUGUAAUUAUGAUUAUUGUCUUCAAGGGUACAUCAUAUUUGCAAACAACAUAUCUUUA